GGUUGUGAGGGCUAUCUGGCUGCGACAUCUGUCACCCAUUGAUCGCCAGGGUUGAUUUGGCUGAUCUGGCUGGCUAGGCGGGUGUCCCCUGUCCCCUUCCUCCCUCAGUGUUCCUUGUGCUUCUCUCCUGAAGCUGCUCCCUGGGUCAAAAAGGACUGCAUUCCUCGAAUAGAGACAGACCAGUCUUCAUUGAAGGUGUAUGAGUAGCUUCACUUCCCUGAUAGAACCUCCAAAUAAGCUCUCAAAAUAACAUACAUGAAUAGUGUGCCUUCUUUGCCAUAGGAGCAACUCAUGUGUUAGUGUGGCAUUCAACACAGUGA
ensembl:misc_RNA 7SK 7SK RNA